CAGAGCUAGGAGGAGGAUUAUUGAUCAGACUAUCUAGCUGCUUAGCCCCUGGGCAGUGGCCCAAACGGCAACCCUAUAAAGUUCUGCUCAGACGUAGUGCACUAUAUAGGGAAGAGGGUCUAUAGUAGUGCACUGUAUAGGGAAGAGGGUCUAUAGUAGUGCACUGUAUAGGGAAGAGGGUCUAUAGUAGUGCACUGUAUAGGGAAGAGGGUCUAUAGUAGUGCACUGUAUAGGGAAGAGGGUCUAUAGUAGUGCACUAUAUAGGGAAUAGGGUCUAUAGUAUACCACUAUAUAGGGAAUAGGGUCUAUAGUAGUGCACUGUAAAGGGAAGAGGGUCUAUAGUAGUGCACUGUAUAGGGAAGAGGGUCUAUAGUAGUACCACUAUAUAGGGAAGAGGGUCUAUAGUAGUACCACUGUAUAGGGAAGAGGGUCUAUAGUAGUGCCACUAUGUAGGGAAGAGGGUCUAUAGUAGUACCACUGUAUAGGGAAGAGGGUCUAUAGUAGUACCACUAUAUAGGGAAGAGGGUCUAUAGUAGUACCACUAUAUAGGGAAGAGGGUCUAUAGUAGUACCACUGUAUAGGGAAGAGGGUCUAUAGUAGUGCACUGUAUAGGGAAGAGGGUCUAUAGUAGUGC
ensembl:lncRNA